UUUGGUGAUCAUAGCACGAGCAAAACACCCGGCUCCAUUCCGAACCCGGCCGUUAAGUGCCGUCGCGCCAAUGGUACUGCGUCUCAAGACGUGGGAGAGUAGGUCAUCGCCAAAC
rnacentral:rRNA from 2 species